UGACUUAUCACUGGGCCCAGCACACAGGUGAUGUAAUUCAUCUGCCUUGUUUUUGUACCCAAGAGCCAUUGUAUUCUAUCUCUGGGCCCAUCAUUUAAAUGAUGUGACUAUCCUUUUCUUCCUGAGCCCUAUUCACAGGGAAAAUAGUGACACAUCUGUGGGGUUCUCACCGAAAUGAUGUGACUCUCCUGCCUGGGCUCGCCUCUCAAGGGAAUUGUGACAUAUUACUGGACCAAGCACCUAGGUGAUGUGGCUCUGACAAAGGAGAAAUUGUGAUGUACCACUGUUUCCAGCACCUAAGAGAUUUGACUCUCUUUUCAUGAGCCCUGCAUUUAUUGUGUAUUGUGACAUGUGGCUUGUGACAUUCCUCAUACAGCACCCAGGUGAUGCGACUCUUCUGCUCAUUUUCUACUUAUAGUUGGGAUUGUGACAAAUAUCCUGGCCCAACUCAUAGGUGCUAUGAUGAUUCCCAUACCUGGAAUCAGCCAAUAGGGAGAUAGUGUCUCUUGUAUUGUAGCCUAGGGAAACAAGACAUAGUGAAACUCCGUCUCUACUAAAAAUACAAAAAUUAGCCGGGUGUGGGACAUGUGCCUGUAAUCCCAGCUACUCAAGAGGCUGAGGUGGGAGAAUCACUUGAACCCGGGAGGCAGAGGUUGCAGUGAGCUGAGACCAUGCCAUUGCACUCCAGCUUGGGUGACAGAGUGAGAUGAGGCUCCCUCUCAAAAAAAAAAAAAAGAAAGAAAGAAAGAAAGAAUUACCAAUCUUUGGUGUGUUUCAUAAACCAUUUGGGUGGCACAAAGAAUGUCUUCACAGGGCUUAGCGCACAGGUGAGAUUGUUUCUAAAAUGCAGAAACUGCUAACUGUUAGGACUGUCACCCUUACACAUGGCAAAAGCCAACUAGUGAGCUCCUGAAUCUCACAGGUGGACACAGUUCAAAGUUGGAAUUGUGACUGUCAUAUAUUAACAUUUGGCCACAAUUAAGGUGGUGACUCAUUAAUAAAUGCAGUGCAUAGGCAGGUGAAGACUCUCUGAUCUAGACCCUGUCAACUAGAGAGUAAGGACUCUGUAAUCUGGACCUUGCCAACUAUGCUCAGAAAGGUCUCAGAGCAGACUGUGACUUUUAUGCACACUCUACAAAGCCCUCAGGUGGUGCAGAAAGUGUUCCAACAGAGCCCAGCACACAGGUGAGACUGUGCCAUUCAUAUGCACAGCUACUGAAUCUUACACCUAGAACCUAGACAUAUAUGAGAUUGUUAAUCUCAUACCUGGACAUUCCUGCAGGUGUGAUUGUGACAUAGAUUUUGCCAAAAGGGAGCAUUGUGACAUAUUGCUUGGCCUUGCACCCAGGUGAUGUGAGUCUCUUCUGCCUUCAUGCUGCCCACAGGGGGCACUGUCACAUAUCACUUGGCACCACAUUCAGGUUAUGUGACUCCCCUGCCUGUGCCCUGCCCAUAUGGGCAAUUUUGACAUGUUG
rnacentral:lncRNA from 1 species